rnacentral:rRNA from 1 species
GACGAACGCUGGCGGCGUGCUUAACACAUGCAAGUCGAACGGAAAGGCCUCUUUCGGGGGGUACUCGAGUGGCGAACGGGUGAGUAACACGUGAGUAACCUGCCCUUGACUUUGGGAUAACUUCAGUAAACUGGGGCUAAUACCGGAUAGGAGCUCCUGCUGCAUGGUGGGGGUUGGAAAGUUUCGGCGGUUGGGGAUGGACUCGCGGCUUAUCAGCUUGUUGGUGGGGUAGUGGCUUACCAAGGCUUUGACGGGUAGCCGGCCUGAGAGGGUGACCGGCCACAUUGGGACUGAGGGACGGCCCAGACUCCUACGGGAGGCAGCAGUGGGGAAUAUUGCACAAUGGGUGGAAGCCGGAUGCAGCAACGCCGUGUGCGGGAUGACGGCCUUCGGGUUGUAAAACGCUUUCGCUCAUGACGAAGCUUUGUGUGACGGUAGUGGGUAAAGAAGCACCGGCUAACUACGUG